ensembl:lincRNA
GACGACAGAAAAACUCCAUUUUUAAUUAGCACUUUGUGUAAUUUUUCCAUGCAUUUGAGUUUAAGAGCCAUUAGUCCCACACAAAAGGAUUGAAACCCUUAUCCCUGCAGCAGACCCAAGGCCUCUGAAUCAUCCCCUCACUGAGCUGACCUCCUGUCUACCUGCCUGCUUACCUGGGUCUCCAAACGGAGACUGAGCCUGACCAUCUGUUGCCACAGUUUCCAGGUAGAGCGCUGCCUGGACUUCUCGCCGAGACUCAUAGCAGAUGUGCCUUUCCCAGUUCCACCUCAGUGUGCGGUGUCACCUGUGGCCUCACCUUGCUCCCACCCUGCUGAUUCAGGACCUUGAAAAAAAACAGUAUCGGUCACCACUGUUAAGCGAUCAUGACACAUCAUCAGCUCACUUAAUUCUGGCCACGGGAAAAGCGUCGCCAGGAAAGCAUCGCCAGGCUGCAUUCGGGAAUAUUCCCAGGGAACACCGCUCCUGCCAAGUCACGGACCGUACGUGACAGUGUGAUAUUUCUUGCCCUGCCUCCCCGGAUGGCCAUAUCAGAGUCCUGUCCAUUCCUUCACAUCCAGAAAUUGAAGUUAUUUUUGGACAGGAUGGUAGGAACGCUUUUGGGUGAUUCUUUAUAGAUAACCACAGCUGUCCAGACAAGAGGCUGGCGUUUGUGGAGCUGACGUGGGUCACGCACCAAUGAGGAGUCCCCACAUCGAGGUGCUCAGAAAAUCGAAGCAAGAAAAAGUAGCAGGUGAUCAUCAUGAGGGAAGCUGCAGGGCCCGGGGUAGAAAUCAGGGCCUUGGCCUCUGAAAACGGAAACCACUGCCUGAGCCCGGGCAGUCAGCUGGAGUGUGGCCCGGGCAGAGGCCACCGGAGCAGCAGUGGUGACGGCGACAGCUUCAGAGCCCAUUUCAGGAUUUAGGGAAUAAUUUCGCAGGCGGCACAAUUCCAGUUCUGCAUAUCUGGGCAACCUACACUGCCUGGAGCAGCGUCCUCUGGGGAAGCUGGGAUUUUCCUUCCAGCCAGCCUCUGUCUGAUCCCCACACAAGGACACUUAAGGAAGAUCUUCGGCCCCUGCUCUGCACGCCGCUGUCAUCUCACUGUGGCUAUAACAACCGGCUGUCCCCAUGCAAAGCUGGGGCCCGUGUGCCAGGGUCCCUGGGCAGGAGCUGCAGUGGUCAUCCCGCCAGCUCAGGCACACAGGGCAGGAGCAGCCUGGGAGCCUCACUUCCAGGGGCUGGGGGCAUCUUGCCAGAAAAGGGCCUGCGGGACUCGCUGUUGCUCCUGCUGUCGCUGGCAGCACUCCUGCGGCUGGAUGGGCAAGGGUGGAGGACACGGACUUCUGGAUCCCAGGACAGACCUUUUCUCUGUCCCUCAGGCUGCCCUGAACUCAGGGAGCUCAGAAUUGCAGCUGAAACUUUUGGCAAGGGCACAGGCACGGCCUUCCCAGGAAGCCUCAGGUCUUCCUCCUCUGCAAAUGUCACCGCGAAGGUGGCGCGAUGCUCUGGGCCUCACCUGGAGCCGGAGGAGGAACAGAGUCCGGGAGGGCGGUCACCCCGACAUGCAGCCCCAGAGGCUCCGGCCUCCCCUUCUUGUCCCUGGAGCCGGGAGGGGUCACCGAGGGUGAGGCCGGGAAGGCUGUCUGUGCACACAAAUGGACACAAGGGGACUGCACAUUCCCAUAGCCGUUAUGGGGAGAACACUACUGAUGGAAAUAAAGC